ensembl:miRNA
CGGGUGCUGCUGUCUGCUGUCGUGUCGCACCACCAGAGCAGCAAGCUGCAACACCUCACU